AUUUUCAGAAACCCAAAUAUGAACCCAACUAUCAAAUCCGAAACCUGAACCCCAAUACGCCCAAAAAUCCGAAACCCGAACCCGGAAUAAUUAUUUCUUUUUACAAUAUAUCAAAACAUAUUAUAUUUAAUAUAACUUUUCAAAAUACAAAUUCAAAUAUAACAUCAAACAUUUAUAUAAAUUAUAUAAUGUAAAAUUAAUUCGGGUUCAAGUUUUGAUCAGGUACAGUCAAAAUUCAUACUCGAAUCCAAAUCUGUCGGGUUUGCGCUUUUGAUAUUCAUAUCCGAAACUAUAUCCGUUUAGUAUCGAAUAAAUCCGCUUCGUUCAGAUUUGGGUUCGGAUAAAAUUUCAAGUAUUUGUAUGCAUCG
rnacentral:lncRNA from 1 species